GAAAAAUAGAAUUCAGGAUUGGAAGGGGCUGUCUGCUGCUUGCCCCCCCACUAAGCAUGUACUGAAGCGUGUACGUCAUGUCAGGACAAGACUGGGUCAAAGAAGCAAAGAACAGACUGCAAGGGGUGAGAUGGGGGAGCGCUGACUACAGUCCUAUCAGACCCAUGGGCAAGAGGGCAUUGCCCCCUUGGCUUGGCAGGCCACUAGGGGAAACAGACAAGCCACCAUUUAUCAGCAAACUUGCUAAGUGGAAAAGCCGAGAUUGCCGAGCCACAAUGCGCACUUGUGCUGCCUGGACACUUCGAGAGCCGCUGCGACACCUGGUGGGCUGGGAGGAAAGUUGCAGGCACUGAGCGAUCCAGACCGAGACGGCAGAAAGGACUUUGGCUCGGAGACAGACCUGCAGACCAAGUUAGCCCGGUGCCCUCCCUCGUCGCAGCCCCCAGCCUGCCCAGGCGGGUCUAGUCUUGGUUCUUGCUUUGGGUUACCUCUCACCACAAAGUCGUGCGCCUGUGUUGGCUCUCA
rnacentral:lncRNA from 1 species